rnacentral:misc_RNA from 1 species
CUUGGGCAUACAUAUAUACGCAAGAAAAUUUUAGAUGGUUUGGGGGGCCAUGGGACUCGCUUGCCCCCAUUCUCCCUCCAUCCCUCUGUGAAAUUCAUAAUUAAUUUUUCAUAUUUAAUCCCCCAGGUGAAAUUGUCACUUAUAGCAUAUGUGUUGCCUUGUGUAUUUGAAUUUGAAGAAAAUAAAUUAAGGAGUGAACAAAAUGAAUUAAGGAGUGAACAAAAUAAAUUAAGGAGUGAAUAUAUAAUGAGAAACAAAUGGUUCUAAUAUUUUACAUUACCUAUAUCACGAUUAAACAAUAUAAAAUUAUUUUUGAGGGGGCCAACAACUAAAAUAAAAUAAAUAUUUUUCUUGGGCAUACAUAUAUACGCAAGAAAAUUUUAGAUGGUUUGGGGGGCCAUGGGACUCGCUUGCCCCCAUUCUCCCUCCAUCCCUCUGUGAAAUUCAUAAUUAAUUUUUCAUAUUUAAUCCCCCAGGUGAAAUUGUCACUUAUAGCAUAUGUGUUGCCUUGUGUAUUUGAAUUUGAAGAAAAUAAAUUAAGGAGUGAACAAAAUGAAUUAAGGAGUGAACAAAAUAAAUUAAGGAGUGAAUAUAUAAUGAGAAACAAAUGGUUCUAAUAUUUUACAUUACCUAUAUCACGAUUAAACAAUAUAAAAUUAUUUUUGAGGGGGCCAACAACUAAAAUAAAAUAAAUAUUUUU